rnacentral:tRNA from 1 species
AACGUCCGGGACUGAGGCAUUGUCCUCAGCCCACCUUUGGCCUAUCGGCCUCGAUGCGUGACCGACCGAGCACCUUUGAACUGCCAAGGCUGGUAGGGCCCAUAGCUCAGUGGUAGAGUGCCUCCUUUGCAAGGAGGAUGCCCUGGGUUCGAAUCCCAGUGGGUCCAUCUCACGUGCCCGAUUCGAAUCGUGUCCCUUAAGUGGGAGACGUGGUACAAUCCGGGUACGAAGAACCGAUGCACCACUCCGUGCAAGCGCGAGUGGGAAGGGUGGACACACAUGCGCAGUCGACGGAUGUGUGAAUGAGACCGUGUGUACGUGCGAUCCAGACGCUCACUGGACCCGUUUCAUCGGGUUUAUGAGCGAUCUAUCAUUAC